UAAAAAAUAUAUGCAAGAAAAGAGUAUUUGAGAAAAAAAUAAAAAAUGGAGUAUAUAAAAGAAGAAUAUGAGAGAAAAAGAGAGAUUUUACAAAAAAGAGUAUGAAAGAGAGAGUGUGCAUAAGAAAGGAGUGUGAAUAAAAAAAAAUGUGAUAAAGAAAAAAAAAAAUGUGCAAGAAAUAAGAGUGUGAAAGAAAGAAAAAGAGAUUUUAUAAGAGAUGAGUGUGCCAAUAAAGAUUGUUUAAGAAAAAGAAAGAGAGAGUAUACAAGAAAAGAAUGUGAUAAAAAAAAG
rnacentral:lncRNA from 1 species